GACGAACGCUGGCGGCGUGCUUAAUACAUGCAAGUCGAACGGACAGACGCUGAGCUUGUUGCUCUCACGUUAGCGGCGCGCGGGUGAAUAACAUGUGGAACACCCACCUGACUUUUGGGUAAACUUCGGGAACCCGGAGCUAUUACCGAUUAGUGUAUCUAACCCCAUGGUUCGAUAGUGAAAGAUCGUUUUGUGGUCACUUACUCACGGAUUCGCGCCGCAUUAGCUAGUUGGUAAGGUACCGGCUUACGAAGGGAACGAUGCGCAGCCGACCUGAGAGGGUGAUCGGCCACACUGGAACUUAGACACGGACAAGACUCCUAAGGGAGGGAGCAGUAGGGAACGUUACGCAAUGGGCGAAAGCAUGACGGAGCAAGGCCGCGUGAGUGACGAAGGUCUUCGGAUCGUAAAGCUCUGUUAUGAGGGAAGAACAGCUGUGUACGGAAAUGAGCACGUAGUGACGGUAACGAAUCAGAAAGCAACGGCUAACUACGUG
rnacentral:rRNA from 1 species